CUCUUACAAAAUUGGUGAACGACCGACAGGAUUUGUUUGGUGGUUUGGCCUAUUCAGUAGAUAAUUUUGACCGGAUGGUCAUCUGGUCAAGUGCCGUAAAUAAUAACUUUUUUGAUUUAACAAUGUUGUGUUUUCAGUUAAAUUACUGUGGGCUGCAGAGGAUCAAGGCAAGGUGGAGGCUGUCGUUGGACCGUAUAAAUUAUAUGACACAUCUUUUCAUACGCUAAAAGGCAACGGCUGGCUGUCUGAUGAAGUCAGUGGGAGCAAUAAGUGUUUAGCAAAUAACAAAGAUUCUUGCCUUUUGCCAAUUUUUUUAUUUUGCUAUGCAAGUAUUUGAUGCAUACAUGCAUAUCCUCAUUGAAAGGCAGCAGCCAAGUGCUGGAUAUAGUUUUUCUCAAUGCAUUUAUUUUUUGCCGGAGUAUAGUUGUAAUGUUGUUACCCCUUUUUUUAACAGGAGCCCAUUCACCAACUCUCUGCUGUGGUAGCUGGGAGUCUGCUUUUGGGAAAAUUUCAGCCUGUUAGAAAGGUAAUCCAUUUCAUGCCAAUAUUUAGCUAUAUUAUUUUAACGCCAGUAACCCAAAAUAACAAUAAUUUGGUAUUGUAUGUUCUUCAGAGGAAAUUCCCUGUUGAAAAAAAAAGUGUAUUUGUCCUGUCCUGUCCUGUAUGCGCUCAUUGGAUUUUAGUGAAUUACACAAAGGAACUAACCUUUUAUAGAUUGUCCACAUUUCUAAGAGAACACUGGUGAUCAACGAUCCCUUGAGUAACGAGGACAAAUAUGAGCAAAAUCUUGCGGAAUUGGAGGAACUUCUUGAGGUUGGCGGGCCGUGAGUUCCAAAUAGAAACUUGGACUACCAAAACUGUGGCCCAUAACAAGCAGCAGAACAACAGUAGCUGUGGGGUUUUCACAUUAAAGUUUGCGGAAGAGUAUAUGGCCAAUGGAGAUCUCAGGCACAACCAGACCCACCUUCCCGAAGUUCUGAAGGCUCGAGGAGAUCUAGCCUGUGCCCUCCUACAGGCUGGGAGUCUGAGAUGUCUAUUUAAAUUAAAAAAAUGUCUCAAAACUUA